ACUAUGGACUAAAGUUGCUGGGAAACCUGGGAUGAGUCACUUCCCUUCUCUGGGAACCCUCAUUGGUAAAAUGAAAAGGUUGAACUAGGAAAUCCCACUGGGCCUGGAAGAAAUGUCAGUGUGGGAAGAUCUCUCUCAAGGCAUCACCAUAAAUCUUUUCCUGUUUUCCUCUUGAAAGACAAGAUUUGGAAAAGUCAGUGCCGAGAUUGCAGCCUCUGCCCGGCCGCCACU
rnacentral:lncRNA from 1 species